rfam:Schistosoma mansoni strain Puerto Rico chromosome 1, complete genome
AUCUAGCUGACGAUUCCUAAAUAAGACGAAACGCGCGUCCUGGAU